rnacentral:rRNA from 1 species
AUGCAUGCCACGCCUGCAAUGUGUACUCGCCUACAUUCAUCUCAACAAAUACACAACUACUCCUACCACUAUCAGGCAAAUGAGUGUAACUAUAAGCAAGCUACUACCAAAUAUAUUGAGCUCGCACAUGAAUUGUUGCAUGCAGCUGAACCGAAACAACAUGAGAAAGAUUAUGAAGCAAGCACCCAAAAUGCACCUAUGCGGACAUUCAAAAGUUACUGCAGUUGCACCGUUCAGAUGAAGUUAAUGAACCCGGUUGCCUUUGAGAUGCAGGCAGAGAAGACAUACAAUGGCGUAUAA